ACCUAAUAUUUCUAAAUUUCAAAAGCAAUUUAGUAAAUAUAAUCUGUAUUGUGGACCGUAAGCGCUAACCAAUUAUCUCAAAAAUACGUGUUGAAAGGAAGGGAGGGCGCACUAAUCGUAUUUAAGGACUCAACCACAGCGCUCACGGGCUUCGAUCCGACUCAACCCACCUGAAGGUUAGGUCUAUUGUCGGGCAUCUUGCCUUUAGGUCUCUUGUGAACCGCAACACUACUCAACUUAUUAAACUCAUCCAACUCAACUUAUUAGUCUUCUCGACCUAUUAUUAUGGGGCAGAAAAUAAGACAUAUUUU
rnacentral:lncRNA from 1 species